rnacentral:rRNA from 1 species
CUACGGGCCGCAGCAGUGGGGAAUAUUGCACAAUGAGCGAAAGCUUGAUGCAGCCAUACCGCGUGUGUGAAGAAGGCCCGAGGGUUGUAAAGCACUUUCAAUUGUGAGGAAGAUAGUAUAGUUAAUACCUGUAUUGUUUGACGUUAACUUUAGAAGAAGCACCGGCUAACUCUGUGCCAGCAGCCGCGGUAAUACAGAGGGUGCAAGCGUUAUUCGGAAUUACUGGGCGUAAAGCGCGCGUAGGCGGACUAUUAAGUCAGUUGUGAAAGCCCUGGGCUCAACCUGGGAACUGCAUCUGAUACUGGUAGUCUAGAGUUUAAGAGAGGGAAGUGGAAUUCCAGGUGUAGCAGUGAAAUGCGUAGAUAUCUGGAGGAACAUCAGUGGCGAAGGCGACUUCCUGGCUUAAAACUGACGCUGAGGUGCGAAAGCGUGGGUAGCGAACGGGAUUAGAUACCCUAGUAGUC